AUUGAACGCUGGCGGCAGGCCUAACACAUGCAAGUCGAGCGGAUGAAGGGAGCUUGCUCCUGGAUUCAGCGGCGGACGGGUGAGUAAUGCCUAGGAAUCUGCCUGGUAGUGGGGGAUAACGUCCGGAAACGGGCGCUAAUACCGCAUACGUCCUGAGGGAGAAAGAGGGGGUUUUUGGGACCUCACGCUAUCAGAUGAGCCCAGGUAGGAUUAGCUAGUUGGUGGGGUAAAGGCCUACCAAGGCGACGACCCGUAACUGGUCUGAGAGGAUGAUCAGUCACACUGGAACUGAGACACGGUCCAGACUCCUACGGGAGGCAGCAGUGGGGAAUAUUGGACAAUGGGCGAAGGCCUGAUCCAGCCAUGCCGCGUGUGUGAAGAAGGUCUUCGGAUUGUAAAGCACUUUAAGUUGGGAGGAAGGGCAGUAAGUUAAUACCUUGCUGUUUUGACGUUACCAACAGAAUAAGCACCGGCUAACUUCGUG
rnacentral:rRNA from 1 species